GCUGGAUGUGGUGACUCACACCUGUAGUCUCAGCUACUCGGGAAGCUGAGGUUGGAGGAUCGCUUGGGCCCAGGAGUUUGAGGCUGCAGUGAGCUAUGAUAGUGCCACUGCACUCCAGCCUGGGUGACAGAGCAAGACCCCAUCUUUU
rfam:Gorilla gorilla gorilla genomic chromosome, chr11, whole genome shotgun sequence